UUAGUGAAAAGAACACAUUCUCUCCCUCACAUUCCCUCAUUUUUACCUCACAAUCUCUCAUUUGACAGCUUUGUCUGUCGAGUUGAGCAUUUAGAAUCGAAAUUGCUUGAAUCAGGCCUGUAUGUUAGUUCUUAUGAUACAACAAGGAACCCUAAAGGAUUGAUUUCUAAUGAAGAUCAGAAUUGAGCACACAGAGGAAGGAAUAGUGUGCUUUAUGUGAGUUAAGCAACUAGUGACAAUUAGUCG
rnacentral:lncRNA from 1 species